rfam:Ornithorhynchus anatinus chromosome 4, whole genome shotgun sequence.
CCCCUCUCAGGAUCACAUCUGGAGGGUCUCCAGUACCCUACUAGUCUAAGUUAAAGGAGGGGGAGUCAAGCAGAGGCAUACCCAUUCCAUUCCUAGCUUGGGCAGUGGCUAGUGAGUAGAAGACAAUCUGCUACAAGU